GUAGGCAACUAUAAUGAAUGGAAAGGAAACCGGAUUGUACUUUAAAUCCGAGAACAUUCUCUACUCUCCAGAACAAGUCAUCUGCAGGCGCAGGCAGUGGAAUCCGUGAGGCCAGCUGUACGGCGGGCCGCCCCGGACCCAGGCUUGGCUCCUCACUUUCCGCUGUUUUUAGUGCGGUCCUACAAGUGCCCUGGUGCAGCCCGAGAUCAGUAAUAAAUGCAGCUGAAAUACA
rnacentral:lncRNA from 1 species